rnacentral:rRNA from 1 species
UACGAAGGGGGCUAGCGUUGCUCGGAAUCACUGGGCGUAAAGGGUGCGUAGGCGGGUCUUUAAGUCAGGGGUGAAAUCCUGGAGCUCAACUCCAGAACUGCCUUUGAUACUGUCGAUCUGGAGUAUGGAAGAGGUGAGUGGAAUUCCGAGUGUAGAGGUGAAAUUCGUAGAUAUUCGGAGGAACACCUAUUGCGAAGGCAGCUCGCUGGGACGUAACUGACGCUGAGACGCGAAAGCGUGGGGAGCGAACAGG